CACGGACCCCGGAGCACAGGAAACUACAACAGUAAAACAAUCCAUAAAGCAAAUGUUGCAUUUUGAUCUUAUUAUCAAUCAUUGAAUAAAAAGGAAAAUAUAUAAACUGACCUUGAAGGAUACUAAUGACGAAAUCACAGCAGCAGAGAACUCACCUUAGAUACAAACUGAUGAUGAAUACAAAAAACUAUUAUGAACACAGGAAAUUAAUUAUAAUUCAGCACUUACAAGCAUACAUUUCUAAAUGAAAAUUUACAUUUCAUUUAAGAAAGUAAAACGUAUAUUAAUAUAGUGUUGAUGAAACAUUAUUAGGGAAAUAU
rnacentral:lncRNA from 1 species